rnacentral:rRNA from 1 species
GAUGAACGCUGGCGGCGUGCCUAAUACAUGCAAGUCGAGCGAACAGACGAGGAGCUUGCUCCUCUGACGUUAGCGGCGGACGGGUGAGUAACACGUGGAUAACCUACCUAUAAGACUGGGAUAACUUCGGGAAACCGGAGCUAAUACCGGAUAAUAUAUUGAACCGCAUGGUUCAAUAGUGAAAGACGGUUUUGCUGUCACUUAUAGAUGGAUCCGCGCCGCAUUAGCUAGUUGGUAAGGUAACGGCUUACCAAGGCAACGAUGCGUAGCCGACCUGAGAGGGGGAUCGGCCACACUGGAACGGAGACACGGUCCAGGCUCCUACGGGAGGCAGCAGUAGGGAAUCGGCCGCAAUGGGCGAAAGCCUUGCGGAGCAACGCGGCGUGAGUGAUGAAGGUCUUCGGAUCGUAAAACUCUGUUAUUAGGGAAGAACAAAUUUGUAAGUAACUAUGCACUUCUUGACGGUACCUAAUCAGAAAGCCACGGCUAACUACGUG